rnacentral:lncRNA from 1 species
CCUGAAGCAUCCCAGCUGACCUCUGGGUCAGAGUUCAUGAGUUCUAAGAUUCCUCAGCUGUGGCCUGGAUGAAAAUGCCCUUUCACAUGUGUGUAACAAACUACGUAUAGUUUUCAUUUCACAGAGCAUGGGUUCAGAAUUCAUUAAUUCACUGUUCGUGCCAACCUUAUAGAACAUAACUGCAGCAAAUAACAAGAGUCAGCUGUACUUGUCUAGAAGAAUAGGAGAAUGAGUGAACUGGGGAAGUAUAAUACGAUUGUUGGGCAGUCAUAAGUGCUCUGUCCAGGACCACCAGAACAAUGUGGAACGGACACAGUGGUAGCUUUCAUGGAUGCCUCAGGCUGCUCAACCAUAUGUAUGUGCCUGUGAAAUCUUUGCCCUGAAGAGAUCCGCCACAAUGAAUGGAGAAGACAUCCAAGCACCAAUUAGCCCUGAGCUAACAUCUGCUGCCAAUCCUCCUCUUUUUGUUGAGGAAGACUGGCCCUGAGCUA